rnacentral:rRNA from 1 species
GCAGCCGCGGUAAUUCCAGCUCCAAUAGCGUAUAUUAAAGUUGUUGCAGUUAAAAAGCUCGUAGUUGAAUUUCGGGAUCAAUAUUUCGGUCAUGCCGUUGGUAUGCACUGUUAUCAUUGAUUUCUCACCUUCUAAAGAACCGUAAUGCCAUUAAUUUGGUGUUACGGGGAAUUAGGACUGUUACCUUGAAAAAAUUAGAGUGUUUAAAGCAGGCUCACGCUUGAAUACAUUAGCAUGGAAUAAUGAAAUAGGACAUCCGAUUCUAUUUUGUUGGUUUCUAGGAUCGAUGUAAUGAUUAAUAGGGAUAGUUGGGGGCAUUAGUAUUCAAUUGUCAGAGGUGAAAUUCUUGGAUUUAUUGAAGACUAACUACUGCGAAAGCAUUUGCCAAGGAUGUUUUCAUUAAUCAAGAACGAAAGUUAGGGGAUCGAAGACGAUCAGAUACCGUCGUAGUCUUAACCAUAAACUAUGCCGACUAGGGAUCGGAUGAUGUUAAUUUUUUAAUGACUCAUUCGGCGCCUUACGGG